rnacentral:rRNA from 1 species
CGAAGGAUGCAAGCGUUAUCCGGAUUCAUUGGGUUUAAAGGGAGCGUAGGUGGCCUUAUAAGUCAGUGGUGAAAUCUCUCGGCUUAACCGAGAAAUUGCCAUUGAUACUGUAGGGCUUGAGUACAGAUGCCGUUGGCGGAAUAUGACAUGUAGUGGUGAAAUACAUAGAGAUGUCAUAGAACACCGAUUGCGAAGGCAGCUGACGAAACUGUAACUGACACUGAGGCUCGAAAGUGUGGGGAUCAAACAGGAUUAGAUACCCUGGUAGUCCACACUGUAAACGAUGAUUACUCGCUGCUGGAGGGCAACUUUCAGUGGCUAAGCAAAAGCGAUAAGUAAUCCACCUGGGGAGUACGCCGGCAACGGUG